rnacentral:lncRNA from 1 species
AUGGAGUCCCCACUGAGUCAUGGAGUCGGUGUGGCCUGGCAUCCACGGUGCACCCCGUGCUGGUGGAUGGCUCAGGACGCAGCAGUUUGUCAUGAGAGGUCUACCACUUGCCGGCAAAGAAGAUGGUCAAUUCUUCUGACCAACGGAGGCUGCCUUGAGUCCUUGAUUUGGUGUGGCCUGGCAUCUAUGGUGCACCCCAUGCUGGGGCAGUUGCCGUGGAAGGCCCGCAGCCUGCUGCAAGGAAGAUGGGUGAUGCUUACGAGCAACAAAGGCUCCACGGAGUCGUGA